rnacentral:rRNA from 1 species
AGAGUUUGAUCAUGGCUCAGGAUGAACGCUGGCGGCGUGCCUAAUACAUGCAAGUCGAGCGAACUGACGAGGAGCUUGCUCCUUUGACGUUAGCGGCGGACGGGUGAGUAACACGUGGGUAACCUACCUAUAAGACUGGAAUAACUCCGGGAAACCGGGGCUAAUGCCGGAUAACAUAUCGAACCGCAUGGUUCGAUAGUGAAAGACGGUCUUGCUGUCACUUAUAGAUGGACCCGCGCCGUAUUAGCUAGUUGGUGAGGUAACGGCUCACCAAGGCAACGAUACGUAGCCGACCUGAGAGGGUGAUCGGCCACACUGGAACUGAGACACGGUCCAGACUCCUACGGGAGGCAGCAGUAGGGAAUCUUCCGCAAUGGGCGAAAGCCUGACGGAGCAACGCCGCGUGAGUGAUGAAGGUCUUCGGAUCGUAAAGCUCUGUUGUUAGGGAAGAACAAAUGUGUAAGUAACUGUGCACGUCUUGACGGUACCUAACCAGAAAGCCACGGCUAACUACGUGCCAGCAGCCGCGGUAAUACGUAGGUGGCAAGCGUUAUCCGGAAUUAUUGGGCGUAAAGCGCGCGUAGGCGGUUUUUUAAGUCUGAUGUGAAAGCCCACGGCUCAACCGUGGAGGGUCAUUGGAAACUGGAAAACUUGAGUGCAGAAGAGGAAAGUGGAAUUCCAUGUGUAGCGGUGAAAUGCGCAGAGAUAUGGAGGAACACGAGUGGCGAAGGCGGCUUUCUGGUCUGUAACUGACGCUGAUGUGCGAAAGCGUGGGGAUCAAACAGGAUUAGAUACCCUGGUAGUCC